CACACCCUCCCGACACAAACACACACACACACAUAUAUAUAUAUAUAUGACAUUCUCGUCGUCCUCGUCGAAUUCAUUAACUGAAAUGGAUAAGGAAUCUGGUAAGAAGAAAACGGGGAACUCCUCCACCAGCUUCGCCGAUCUUCAGCCUCGCCGAGGUCAGAAUAAAAUUAUCAGACAGAUAUAUACCGAUGUCCGCCAGACCUUCAAAAAGGACGACGUCGACAAUCACACCAAUGGCGCCUCCGCCGUAAAUCAUUCCUCGUAGAAUUGGAUUUGCACAAUUUGAGAAUGUAUUGUCUGAGUGCUAGCUUACUGUACUGUAAAAUAUAUACUCUGUGUGUGUGUAAGAGAGACUGAGAGAGGAAUUGUUGUAGGAAUUUGACCUGAAGCUUAAGCUAAUUAGCUACUGUAUAUAAUAUUGUUUUUCGAUUAUCAGUUUUCUGAAUGUGAUUUUUUAUUUUUCCUGGUUCAUUACAAGGUUUCUCAAUUGUCAAUUUCUUCUUACAAAGGUCGCAAGAACGGCGUGUCUUAGAUGGAUGGGAAACAGAGCGUUAGCUUAACUCGCGUUUCCAUCUGAAGCUAAAUCGUGUUUUACAGACGGAAUAGAAAACGCGCUUUUAGCAUAAAUGUUUGUGAAAACGGUUAACGUUGACAAUAUGAGAAAAACAAUAUGAGGUUCCGAUUCAAAGCGCCGGUGCCAUUGGCUUUGCUGCGACGGCCGCUGCCGGCGGGGAUUCAUUCGGUGUCCAGCUCGUCGUUUGGAAUCGCGUUUGAUAUAGAUGGUGUGAUACUUCGUGGUGCAGCUCCGAUUGGGAAUUCGGAGAGAGCACUGAGAAGAUUGUAUGACGAUUCUGGUUCUUUGAAGGUUCCCUUUUUGUUUUUGACGAAUGGUGGAGGCAUCCCAGAGUCAAGAAGAGCCUCUGACCUGAGCAAUCUACUUGGAGUAAAUAUUUUACCAUCACAGGUGGUGCAUGGUCAUUCACCCUUCAAAACUUUAUUGAAUAGGUUUGAAAAUGAGUUCAUCGUUGCAACUGGAAAAGGUGAGCCUGCUGUUGUGAUGUCUGAAUAUGGUUUUAAGAGAGUUGUCUCAAUAGAUGAGUAUGUGUCACACUUCAAGAACAUUGAUCCUGUAGCUCAGUACAAGAGGUGGACAACCGUGCAGGAUUCGAACUUCUCCAGAAAUUCUAAGACAGUCUCGAGUUGCGGUGAUUUCUCACAAAGCGUUAAAGCUGCAUUUGUUGUUAGUGAUCCUGUUGACUGGGGGAGGGAUAUACAGGUUUUAUGCGAUAUUUUAACAUCUGGAGGCGUUCCUGGAAAGAAACUUGGGGAUCAACCACCUCUGUUUUUUGCAGCGGAUGAUUUACAAUACCAGGCUGCAUUUCCUUCGGAGCGUCUUGGCAUGGGCGCAUUCAGAAUUGCCCUUGAGAGUGUCUUCAAUAGAAUUCAUGACAAGCCAUUGGAGUACACCUCAUUCGGGAAGCCGAAUCCAUUUGUUUUUAAAAAUGCUGAAACUAUAUUACAGCAUCUUCUACAGUCUAUCGAUCGCAAGAAUACACUUGUCAACGGGCCUUCUUUCAGAACCCUUUAUAUGAUCGGCGACAACCCAUUUGUCGAUGUCAAAGGAGCACAUCAGGCAGGUCAUCCAUGGUUCUCGAUUUUGACGAGGACAGGCGUUUUUAGGCAAAGAGAUAACCAUAAAGAGUAUCCAGCCAAUGUGGUCGUCGACACUGUGGAGGAUGCAAUCGAGUUUAUACUCAGACGUGAGGAUGGUGCUGGUGCUGGUGCGGAGACAAUGCUAUAAGAAUCGAAUCAUCUAAUUGAUUGUUCUUCCCCUCUGGCAGUGAAAUGAAUGCUUGAAAAUCAACGAAGGGAAUGAAUCUCGGAAUGAAGAAUUGAAAAAUAAUAAGAGAAAAAAGACGAUGGGCGGAAGCGGGAAGAGAAAGAGAAGAAAGAAGAGAAAGAGAAAGGGAAGAAAAAAAAAAAAAAAAAAGCCGGCUGGAUCAGGUCUUUUUUUUCCUCCAAUUUUCUUUUUUCUUUCUCUUUUUUCCCAAUUUUUUUUCUUCUUUAUUUUUCCAUCCCAAUUUUCUUUCUUCCUCAAUUCUUCUUCUACAACCAACAACACCAAAUUCUUUCACUUCUUCUUAAAUUAAUUUCAAAUUUGGAUGUCAAAUUGAUCCAUUAGAUUUCUAGGUUUGAUAAAACAUAAGAAGAAAUAACAUAAGAAGAAAUGAACAAUUAAUUUGUGUUCAAAUUUGGUUAUGUUUAGCGGAUUUAAAAUGAAAGAAAAAAAAUGAAUUGAAAUUAAAUUUUAAAAGUAUAGAGAAGAACAAGGAAGAAGAACAAACAAGAAGAAUAAAAAAGAAGCUGUAAAAAUAGUUAUUAGGGUAUUUUAGUAAUUUUAUAUAGAAAUAUAUCCGUUUAUGGACAAAAAAUCGCAUAGCAGGUGCGUCCCAUACAACCACCAUUAAAUCUUAACGGAUGAGAGAUUUUUUGCAACAUUUUGGAAACCACAAGAAGGUUCUUUGGAAUUAUAUAACCACAGAGGGUUUUCAGCAAAUUCGGAAAAUCACAGGGAUUUUUUUGCUAUUUUUUUGAAUUGAAAGUAGGAGUGUUUUAGUAACAUACUUUCACCGUCCCUUUUGAAAUUGGUCAUUUGGAGUUUUGUAAUAAAUUAAAAAAUAAGUUUGUGUUGGGAUGAGAAUAAGUGCAACACCAACUAAUCCUCGUACACUUAUCAAAUGGGCCAACUCCCGAAGCUUAGUUAUAUCACAGUUAUAACGCUGAUUUGUCAAUGAAAUAAAUGAAAGGAUUUCAAAGUAAUAAAUGACAAGUUAUUUGUUUA